GUCCACACCCUAACGAUGUCUACUAGCUGUUGGGAGCGAUCCUAAGUAGCGAAGCAAACGCGAGAAGUAGACCGCCUGGGGAGUACGGUCGCAAGAUUAAACUCAAAGGAAUUGACGGGACCCGCACAAGCGGUGGAUGAUGUGGAUUAAUUCGAUGCAACGCGAAGAACCUUACCCGCUCUUGACAUGUCUGGAAUGCUGUAGAGAUACGGUAGUGCCUUCGGGAACCAGAACACAGGUGCUGCAUGGCUGUCGU
rnacentral:rRNA from 1 species